rnacentral:rRNA from 1 species
AGAGUUUGAUCCUGGCUCAGAAUGAACGCUGGCGGCGUGCUUAACACAUGCAAGUCGUACGAGAACUCUUUAGCUUGCUAAAGAUAGUAAAGUGGCGUACGGGUGAGUAACACGUGGGUAAUCUACCUCCGAAUCGGGGAUAACAUUGCGAAAGCGAUGCUAAUACCGGAUAAUAUCUUUUUAGCUCAGGCUUUGAAGAUCAAAGGUGGUCUCUACAUGUAAACUACUGUUUGGAGAUGAGCCCGCGCACCAUUAGCUUGUUGGUAGGGUAACGGCCUACCAAGGCUUCGAUGGUUAGCUGGUCUGAGAGGAUGAUCAGCCACACUGGAACUGACACACGGUCCAGACUCCUACGGGAGGCAGCAGUGAGGAAUUUUGCGCAAUGGGGGAAACCCUGACGCAGCAACGCCGCGUGAGUGAUGAAGGCUUUCGAGUCGUAAAGCUCUGUCAAGUGGGAAGAACCUAGGAUAUGAUAAUACCAUAUCUUACUGACGGUACCACUGAAGGAAGCACCGGCUAACUCCGUGCCAGCAGCCGCGGUAAUACGGAGGGUGCAAGCGUUAUUCGGAAUUAUUGGGCGUAAAGGGCGCGUAGGCGGCUUCUUAAGUCAGAUGUGAAAGCCCGGGGCUUAACCCCGGAAGUGCAUUUGAAACUAAGUGGCUUGAGUAUGGGAGAGGGAAGUGGAAUUCCUGGUGUAGAGGUGAAAUUCGUAGAUAUCAGGAGGAACACCGGUGGC